GAUGAACGCUGGCGGCGUGCUUAACACAUGCAAGUCGAACGGAAAGGCCCAAGCUUGCUUGGGUACUCGAGUGGCGAACGGGUGAGUAACACGUGGGUGAUCUGCCCUGCACUUCGGGAUAAGCCUGGGAAACUGGGUCUAAUACCGGAUAGGACGAUGGUUUGGAUGCCAUUGUGGAAAGUUUUUUCGGUGUGGGAUGAGCUCGCGGCCUAUCAGCUUGUUGGUGGGGUAAUGGCCUACCAAGGCGUCGACGGGUAGCCGGCCUGAGAGGUUGUACGGCCACAUUGGGACUGAGAUACGGCCCAGACUCCUACGGGAGGCAGCAGUGGGGAAUAUUGCACAAUGGGCGCAAGCCUGAUGCAGCGACGCCGCGUGGGGGAUGACGGCCUUCGGGUUGUAAACUCCUUUCGCUAGGGACGAAGCGUUUUUGUGACGGUACCUGGAGAAGAAGCACCGGCUAACUACGUG
rnacentral:rRNA from 1 species